rnacentral:rRNA from 1 species
UAUUUUUAAAGGGCCGCGGUAUACUGACCGUGCGAAGGUAGCAUAAUCAUUAGUCUUUUAAUUGAAGGCUUGUAUGAAUGGUUGGACAAAAAGUAAUCUGUCUCAAUUGUAAUAAUUGAACUUAACUUUUAAGUGAAAAGGCUUAAAUGCUUUAAGGGGACGAUAAGACCCUAUAAAACUUGACAAUAAAUUAGUUAAAUUAUAAAUUGUUAGUAUAACUUGAUCUUAAUUAAUGUUUGUUGCGUUGGGGCGACGGGAAUAUAAUUAGUAACUGUUCUUAAAUACUUAUUAACAAGUAUAAUUGAAAAAUAAUUGAUCCUUUAUUAAAGAUUAAAAGAUUAAGUUACUUUAGGGAUAACAGCGUAAUCUUCUUUGAGAGUCCUCAUCGACAAGAAGGUUUGCGACCUCGAUGUUGAAUUAAGGUAUCCUUAUAAUGCAG